rnacentral:rRNA from 1 species
UACGGGGGGGGCAAGCGUUGUUCGGAAUUACUGGGCGUAAAGCGCACGUAGGCGGCUUUGCAAGUUAGAGGUGAAAGCCCGGGGCUCAACUCCGGAAUUGCCUUUAAAACUGCAUCGCUAGAAUUGUGGAGAGGUAAGUGGAAUUCCGAGUGUAGAGGUGAAAUUCGUAGAUAUUCGGAAGAACACCAGUGGCGAAGGCGGCGUCCUGGACCAACACUGACACUGAGGAGCGAAAGCCAGGGGAGCAAACGGG